UACUAGCGGACGUAUUAAGUAAAAUUUUUGGACACAAAUGCCCCCACUUUCCCUACUUAGCAUCUACACGACCAAUUUAAAAUAACACCAUUUUCAUUCCUACCUCUGAUUUUCUUCCGGCCCGCCCGCCUCCUACUUCCUCCCUCCUCCUCCCUUCGGCCCACCAUCCCUUCCUCUUCCUCUAGUCACUCCUUCAACCCUGCCUAGGUGCUGUUGCAGCCUUUUCGGCCACUGUAACGUGGACCUUUUUGAAAAUCCACUUUUCGAUCUGAGCUUUACCAAGUCCGAGGGUUGCUAGAUCGUGGGUCCUUCUUGUGCGAUUAGUAGAGGGUAUGGUUCUUGUGUGUGAGGGAAGUGGAGUCAUGAUCUGAAGUGGGGUUUUUUGGGGUUAAUGGUUUGGGGAAUUCGGAUCUUGAGGGGUGUCUGCUGGUGGUGGCUUUGGCACAUGGGUCCUGUCGGAAUCUGGGCUCCGGUUGUUGUCCUCGCCGGAAUGGGGAUGUCUUUUGGUUCCUUUUUCUGCUCUUUUUGUGAGGAUGGAAUGUGUUUCUCGGAUGGUUCCUUUUUCAUCCGUGUGGUUUUCUGAUCUGAAGUAUACUUCUAUUGAUGAUCCUUUAUUAUUUCAGUUUUGGAUGUUAAAUACUUAAAUGUUUAAUUUUUGGUUCCAAUCAUUUUGAUCUAUGGAUAAUGCUCUAGUUUUAAUUUAGAAUGAAUUAGCGUUUUCUCUUUGGACUUGAUUUGAUGUUGUUCUUUGAUAUGGCUACUGCCGGAUGGGUGUUUCCGAUUCCUGAUCGGAUUGCCGGUUUAAGGCCAGACGGUACUUGGCCGGAAAUUUGUUUCAGUCCGUGCAGUUUUGCUUGGGUGCAGCGAUUCUUGUUGCCGAAGGUUGUUUGUCAGUGGUUUUACUGGCCUUGUUUUGCAACUAGUUUGGACUGCCUCGUUGACUAUGAAUAUCAGAUGUUGAGGGCCCACGUGGCUGUUUGAUUAUAAAUUUUUAGCUGAUGUGCUUGGUUAAUGCACCCACGUGGGCUGUCUUGUACUGCUGAUGAUUUUGAAUUUUUAAGGACUCACUAGUUUUGUGGUUCUUUGUUGUAACUAAUCCAUUGUUUGUGGUUUAGUUGUAAUCAACUUUUGUCUCUUUUUAUUUAUAAUUGGUCCGCUAGACAUACUAGCGGAUGGUGUUAUUUAUGUCCAAAAAUUUUAUUUAAUACGUCCACUCUUAUUAGUGGACAGGGUGUUUCUAAAUUAAAUCUCAAUCAUUCAUUUAAUAAACGGAUGGUUAAGAUGAUAUAUGUUACUUUUUGAUCCAUAGCAAAUAGAUGCGAUAGAUUAUUCUCCUAUAUAUAUAUAUAGUUCGGAUCUUAAGUUCAUCCCUUAUCCAAUUCACCCGAGCUCACCUCUCUUUAGCGACGGACCCGACGACGGUUCGGUCAUACAACCGUUGUCUAUAUUUUUAGCGAC
rnacentral:lncRNA from 1 species